rnacentral:ncRNA from 1 species
GAAAGGGCAAACCCGUCGAGAGGCGGGGGCGCAAAGCCACGGGUCUGGUGAUACCAGACAGCCGGGUUGCCGAA